rnacentral:rRNA from 1 species
GAUGAACGCUGGCGGCGUGCUUAACACAUGCAAGUCGAACGGAAAGGCCACAGCUUGCUGUGGUACUCGAGUGGCGAACGGGUGAGUAACACGUGGGUGAUCUGCCCUGUACUUCGGGAUAAGCGUGGGAAACUGGGUCUAAUACCGGAUAGGAAUCACAUGUGGGUGUGUGGUUGGAAAGCUUUUGCGGUAUGGGAUGAGCUCGCGGCCUAUCAGCUUGUUGGUGGGGUAAUGGCCUACCAAGGCGUCGACGGGUAGCCGGCCUGAGAGGGUGUACGGCCACAUUGGGACUGAGAUACGGCCCAGACUCCUACGGGAGGCAGCAGUGGGGAAUAUUGCACAAUGGGCGCAAGCCUGAUGCAGCGACGCCGCGUGGGGGAUGACGGCCUUCGGGUUGUAAACUCCUUUCGUCAGGGACGAAGCGAAAGUGACGGUACCUGGAGAAGAAGCACCGGCUAACUACGUG